CUAUAUUGAAUGUUUUACACGUAAAAGGAAAGUACAAACUAAUACAUUAUAAAGGAAAUAAAUUCAAGAUUACUACUUCGAUAGUUACAUAGACACUUAGACAAAAUGUAUCGUUUGUUUCUAGUUAUGUUUUGUUCGCUACAUGAUUACAUAUUAUAGUAUGCCAAAAUUUUCUUGAAAAUAAUGUUCGACCGUAACAUCUUUUUUUUUGCACAUAGUAAUACGUUUUGUUAAUCGUUUAAAAUACAGUCACAAUACGUUUAUUAAAAUAUGACACACUACAACAUAUAGUACAAACCACUGCUACAUAAUGCCUCCUUGCAUUAUUUGACCGAAACGUCAUUCUUUAAACAUAGACGAAGGUUUGUUCGCUGUAUCGGAUGCCGGAGGUCGGUGUUAUUUCUUAUUCUAACCGAACAAUUUUAGCACAUAAAUUGACAUUUUAAAUGUUUUACACUUGCAUGUACACAUGUUAAAAUCCACUAUAUUUCAUUACUAUAUGAAAUUAAUUCACCGUUCUCAAGCUUAUUAUUACCUUAUUUAAAAUUUUAGAUGUAUUUGUAAUAAACAUCCAUGAUUUGUGUACUGUACUUUUUAUGUAGACUGUAAGUGAGAUUUGUUGAUAAAAUAAAAUACAUGAAAUAACAGAGACAGCUCCAUUAAAAAACUUGAUCCGCAAACGAUAUAGAAAUAAACACAAUAUUAUCGAUGUAAUGCUUUUUGAACUUCAGCUUUACACCAUUAGUACUUAGCGUCCCCUGCACGACUUAUCCCUAAUAAGUGACAUUUUACGUUCAUGUACAUAAGAAGAGAAUAUAAUAUUUUACGUUAUAAUGUUUUGAUUUUUUUUCAGAUGUGCAUCCGGAUAUAUCCGGUCUACAAACACAUACAAAAACACCUAAGACCCAGCAGGAUGAGAACAUUUAUUCGUUUGCAAAAUGCGUUCCAGACGUGCCAUCUCCUGUUCAAGACGUGUCAUCUCCCGGUGAGCAGGUGCCUCAAACUGUGGAAGAUGAUAUUGAAGAUGAUCCACUGUACAGUACUGUCAUUCAUAGAACGGCCAGGCAAAUCUAAUUAGAAUGUUAAACUCAAGCAAAGUUUACAGAACUCCAAUAUCAUCGAAACUGCAGAGAGAUUGCUCUAAUUGUAAUCUUGCAUGUUUAAACGGUUUGUAAUGAUAUAUUGUUAUUGUGUGUACUAAUUGUUAUAUAUUAUUACAUUAUUGAUGUAUAUUGUCUUUUUAUAGCUUACCAUGUAAGGUGCAUCUGUUGUGCUUAGGAAAGAUUUUACUGUAUGCGUAUUAAAGAUAUGUGUUUUCAAAACAAAUAUACAUUGUGACUUUUUUCAGAUGUAAAUGUCAAAAACGAAUUUAUGAAUUCUGAGAAUGACUAUCAUAUAACCAUCUAAUUUCGUUGCCUAUAGACACUGAGAGACAAACGACCGAAUAAACAAAUUAUAGAAGGGAACCUUUUUGGCAUGAAGUUGAUAUUUACUAUGAGAAGACGAAACAAUGUUAUUUUAUGUGUAUAAAUACAAUCAAUAUCACGAACUGAAUCCUUAACGAGUAAACAUUUAUGCAUUUUUAUAAGUUGAAAACUUUCAUUAGCGUAAUAACAAUAAAGUUAAUACACACAUAAAUAAGUCAAAAUAAUGUAUAUGGAUCAUACAAGUCAAAUGUGAUGUAUAUGUAUGCAAUUUCGAUACUUAUUUCGUACACUCGUUCAUUAAAUGUUAUUGUUCAUUUUUACAAAACUCUGAAUAUGAACACCCAUUUUGUCAGGCUGAUAUGUGUAGGCAUUAUUGUUUUUGUUGCGGUAUUUAUAGUAACAUUAUUAGAUGGAGUAUUUAACUACUUAAGCAUAGGUUGACACAUACGAUAGGUCAGACCAGAAAAUAAAUGGAAUCUGCACGAACAGUAAGUCGGUGUUUUUUUAAAACUCUUUUUGUUAUUUUGACAAUACGCUUUCCAUGUCAAACACAUGUGAAUAAUGAGCGAAAUAACUUAAGUGUGUUAGGUUAACGUCGAAGUCGUAUGUCUUACAGUUUACCUUUCUUUAACAGACUCUUUUUUCAAACAUACUGAAACAUUUUGAGGAAAUAAAAGUUUCAACACAACCGUGGAGUACUAGCAAAAUCCUGAUAACCAGUAAACAAUUUUAAGGAAACAUGGAUAUACAUAACAAAAUUUGUUUAUGAAUCAUCAUACAUGUACUCUCAAUAAAAAAGAACAGAAUAUUAAUGCCUUACAAAGUAACACAUAGGGAACAAACACACAGAAAUAAACCAAAUGAUACAUACUUAACCCAGUUAAACCAUUAUGAAAACACUUAAAGCGAUUGCAGAAAUUACGAUUAAAAAGGCGACAGCAACUGUUGCGGUUGUCGAAAAUCGCAUUUCAUCCGCGGUAUGAAUCGAAACGUAAUAUUUGUCCCAUAUGAACGUGAGUUUCUACGACCAACAUAUUUUUUUUCAAACCAAAUGAAACGUUAUACAACACUGUAAUUGAAUGUAAGAAGUUGUGCGAGAAUAUAAACGAUGGAGUAGAGUUCUAUUCAUUUGAAAAUAAUAGUCUGAUGUAUAUUUGAAAACUCUUUAUAUACACAAGACAUGUACAAUGUCAGGAAAUCAAAAUUGUUAUGCACAGAUUCGUUCACACAGCACAAUAUUGGUCCCGCAACAAAUACGAGAAAACGUGUUUGUUAUGCAUUUCGUUGAAGUUGUAUAAGCGGUUAUUUUACCCAAUGUAUUUAUGUGUUUGUUCCAUCUAUUUUUAUCGAAAUAACAUUCAAUAUUUAUUGUUGGCUUUAUGUCAUUAAUAUGUGUGCUUUUUUCUAUUGAUUUCGUUUGCAGAACCGAUUUUCGGAAGAACCUUUUAAAUUUUCGUGAGACAAUAUUAUAAUUAUAUAACAAUGAGCUUGAUAUUGUCGACUAGAGCCUUAUUCAAGAGUUAGGUAGUAUCUGUCAGGACGUUGAAAUAUGUCAUAUAAACAUUUGCGUAAUUAUUAUGCAUGUGGUGUUUUCUUUUUCAGCUUAAAGAAUGUGUUUCAAAUUCAACGU